CGCCAAUGAGCGCUCUUGCGACGAAAGCCGAGGACCAAUAGCUGCAGCUCGGGAGAGCACGGCUCCGCCACGUGAUCGAUGUGCGGACUGUGGGUGACAGAAACAGCUGCAUCCUACCCUAGCAUGGGUCAUGACCUCCAGAAAGGUGCAUGGAUGGUAUUUCACCUUUGGAUAACCUUCCACUUCGUGUGUACUAAACAUCCCCCAAGACCAUGUGCUGCUGGAGGUGGGGUGCCAAGAGAGAGUAAUGGCUGAAAUCUCUGCCCUAUUUCCACAGAGAAGACGGAUCUUUGGACUCGGUUCAUAUUGCCAAAUUGUUUUUAGAAAGAUACUUGAAGAAUGAAGACCCUUCACCCUUUUUUCAGGGAAGAUCACCUCAUCAUCUUCCAGAGAUGCAGGACAGUGGAUAUGACUGCAGCUGAGCUGAGGAGACUUGAGAGUCCUUUGCUUGCCCAGUACUUAAGGGCAUUAAAAAAUAUAUUUGAAAACUAUUAGCUUAAAAUGAACCUUCUGAUUAAGGGAUGGAGAAAAUUAGACAGAAAAAACGUAGGGAAAGCACUGUAUAAAUACAGAAUCACUAGGGACAGAGGUGACCUGACAAAGCAAUGCAACAAACAAGCUGUACAAUUUUGCUAUCUUGGAUUGAA